AUUGAACGCUGGCGGCAGGCCUAACACAUGCAAGUCGAACGAGUGGCGGACGGGUGAGUAAUGUCUGUGAAACCGCCUGAUGGAGGGGGAUAACUACUGGAAACUGUAGCUUAUACCGCAUACCAUCGGAUGUGCCCAUAUGGGAUUAUCUAGUAGGUGGGGUAACGGCUCACCUAGGCGACGAUCCCUAGCUGGUCUGAGAGGAGGACCAGCAACACUGGAACUGAGACACGGUCCAGACUCCGACGGGAGGCAGCAGUGGGGAAUAUUGCACAAUGGGCGCAAGCCUGAUGCAGCCAUGCCGCGUGUAUGAAGAAGGCCUUAGGGUUGUAAAGUACUUUCAGCGGGGAGGCGUUACCGACAGAAGAAGCACCGGCUAACUCCGUGCCAGCAGCCGCGGUAAUAC
rnacentral:rRNA from 1 species